CCUGUUUGUGUAUGGAUUUUUCUUGGAAAUCUUGUUUAUCAUCAUCCUCCAUUUUUCUGCAGCGACGAGUCAUCAGGACGAGGAGCGUCAAGUAUAUGCCAUUCUUCUUGUCUUUGGCAAACCUCAUGAAUGGAAUUGUUUGGCUCAUUUACGCCCUCAUUAAAAUAGAUGCCUACAUAGUGGUAAUGAUCUUGUAGAAAAGGAAUAUCUGUGGCAUCUUCUUUCUUUUCCCAUGUGUAUUUGGUUGUCAAGAGUGCAGAAAAUUUGGUAAUGCUACAGCUUCUGGGGGUCCAUUUUCUCGGAAUUUAAUCAAAGCAGGACAAAUGUUGUGUUGUGUCUAGCAUUACCCAACUCGUAUUUUUACAUUUCCAGUGUUAGUUUUUCUGUGGUAUGCUGCUAUGAAGAGGCUUAUCGUAUAUGGUUGAUCUAACACAAGCUUCUUCUCUUGCUUUCAUGUAGAUUCCCAAUGCUUUGGGAACCAUUUCAGGGUUGGUGCAAAUGGUCCUCUACGCUGCCUUCUACAAGUCAACCCCAAGGGAAGAAGAAGAGGUGAAGAAGACACAAGAGGUUCAACUCUCCGGGAUCUAAUUACAGCACCAAUAAAUUUUCUUGUUUCAUCAAGGAGAUUCUCCUUUUUGUUUUCUGUUCAUUUUUCUUUUUCUUUUUCUUUUUAUUCCUUUUGAGCAUUUGUCCAACUUUAAUUUCAAAGGGAAUAAGAUGACAGCAAAACAAGAACGAAAAAGGAAAACAAGAAAGAAGAACAGAAAAAGAGGUGGAGUUAGCUUACCAUGUGUUUAAUUGCCAUCUUGUUUCUUGUGGCGUUGUGGGGUAUGUCUGUUUCGAUUUUAUUAAUGUAAUUACUAUUCCACAGCAAGGCUUAAGAUUCACUGGUGAAUGCAUAUCCAAAGGGUUGAAGUAGGCAUUGAUUUGGAUCUGAUUAUCCACUGCAAGCAAAAAGCUUAAUGUUCAGCAUAUCAAAAAUAGAGGCUAUGCUUCACACUCCAGCAUUUUGCUCAACUCAAAAUUGGUUGAAGUUCUCAUACUGAACACAGCUGUAGCAUGUAUCAAACAAAAAAAAUUCAAUUCCCAUUGUUGCAUAGCCUUUUAACAACCUCAAUUUAAACCCAAACCCAUUGCAUAGCCUUUUAACAACCUCAAUUUAAACCCAAACCCAUAUGCAAAUAUACUGUGGUACCAAGUUUCCGCACUAACUCUCAUCCACAACAACAUUCCUUUGGAACACAAUCCAUCACCAAAUCCACCAUUCCAACUAGCGAAGGUGCAGACCUUGUCCGGCAAAGAUGUAGUUGUUUCUCUGGUGGGGAUCUUGUCACAAGUCUCUGCAGAUAGAUUCCACAUUUCACUUAGAUGGGACUGGUUUCACUUCAUCCUAAAUUCCUAAUUAAUCAAUACUACAAUAUGGAAAAUGAAUUUUAAUGGAAUAGAGAUGAUGGAGUAUCACUAUGUGGUAAUGGAGCUACAUGUUGAUACAACAUUAACCUUCAGUCGUGUCUCUUGCUGUUUGCCUUAAUGGAAUUUAGAGAACAGGUUAUUUUCUUCAACAUUUUUUUUUACUCACCCUCUAAAUAUUCCAUCAAGAAUCAGUUAGAUAGGAUACUGUGUCAGUAGUUUUUCUUUUCUGUUUCUUUUUGUUGAGACACGAAACUUCUAUUGAU
rnacentral:lncRNA from 1 species